rnacentral:misc_RNA from 1 species
AAGGAUGCACGCAGUCUGAACCCUGUGGAAAUGAAAAUUUCUACCAAUCAAUAACAGUUUCAAAAGUUUAACCAUUCUAAAUUCAUGAUGGAUGGAAUGCCAAUGCAUUCACUUUCACAUAACCUACAGUGUUUUAAAGAUGGAAAAACAAUUAAAUCCACAUUUUUUGUUGGUAGCUUCAUAACUUUUGUCAGCCAAUUAGAUUAUAU